UACAGAGGUCUCAAGCGUUGUUCGGAAUCACUGGGCGUAAAGGGUGCGUAGGCCGCACGGUAAGUCAGAUGUGAAAUCCCAGGGCUCAACCCUGGAAUUGCAUCCGAUACUGCCGUGCUUGAGGACUGGAGAGGAGUCUGGAAUUCAUGGUGGAGCAGUGAAAUGCGUAGAUAUCAUGAGGAACGCUAGUGGCGUAGGCGAGACUCUGGACAGUUCCUGACGCUGAGGCACGAAGGCCAGGGGAGCAAACGGG
rnacentral:rRNA from 1 species